rnacentral:lncRNA from 1 species
UCCAACCUUGAUUUCACCUCCUUUGUGUAAGCUUUUUUUUUUAAUAUUCAUUUCCAGUUUUGGGUUUUUCUUUCUUUCUUUCUUUUGAAUUUGAUGUUUGUUUGGUAGGAAAAAAAUGUAAAUAUAUUCUUUGAUUUUCUUUUCUGUUAUGGCAUUUGCUUUGCCAUGUACGUUUCAAAAAUCUUCUCGGGCUUUUUCUUUAAAAGGAUUCUGAGUUGAUAACAUGUUUUCAUUAUGGCUGCAAUUAUGAGGAACAUUUUUAGGUUAAAUCAUUAAAAACAUGUUGUUUGUUGAUAUGCUUUGUUGUAAUCUAAUUCGACUUUAGUUUUGGAUGCAUAUUGGAGCAUGAAUAUGAUGGGACGAAGCUGGGAAUUUUGUAUAAAGUUCGAGAUAAUACUAUAAAAUUUUGUGUUAAAAAAACUUAAAUUGAAUUAUUAAAUUUUCAGAGGGAUUGAAAACGGAAUUUUCCCAUUUAAUUAAAGGUUAUAAAGAUGUUGCCUACACAUUUGAAAGCAAAUAUAUGAUAAAUAUCCGACGUGAAUAUAUUAAUUUUUUUGAGUUACGUUAUGUUGGUAGUUCAAUGUUUCUUCUUGAUGCUAGGGCGCAAAUUAAAUUUUAACUUUUACUCUAUAUUUUUAUAACUUUUAAAGAAUUAAAUUAAAUUUUUAAAUUUUAGGAGAUAAAGUAUAAUUUUAAUUUUAUUUAUACUAAUUUAAAAUUUUAAAAUUUUAUAAAGGCUUAUAUGAAUAAUUUUCUAUUUCAGCCCCUAGAUACGCCGUUGAUCUUACUCAAAUUUGAUUGUGAGGAUAUAUACAAGUAUUUAUAAUUUAAUUUAUUGAAAAAUUUAAUGUAUUUAGAGGGUAUUUAGAGUAUUAUAUCUUCAUAAGUGUGUUCGAAUUCGUAUUAGACAUAUGCCGAAUACGAGUCCUUCCCUAUGGUUACACACACUAUGUUCUUUGUCUUUGAGCCAUGCUCUUCCCUAUUAUUUCAGAUCAGAUCGGGGAAGGACUUCCACUCUUAAGCUAUGGUUGUCGAAAGCAUGGUUUCUACUCCAUAUCGGAGGUCGGUACCGAUGAGGAAGCAACCCCACGAGUUUGGUAGCUUUUCAACACUCGUUUGGAGGCAUAGAUUCCUCUUGACCACUUUCGGUUUCUUGGCAUUCCUUUGUACGAUCUACCUUUACUUCGCCGUUACUUUAGUGGCCUCGGAUACGUGUUCCGGCUUGAAAGGAACACAGAGAGCGACAUGCCAACUCCGGCACGCAACGUCGAUGAUGUACGAUGGGAGAUUGAAAUUUCUUUAGUAUGUUUAUGGUAAAUUGAGAGCUUAUACUUAUCCAUGUUCACAUACAAUGUCUAAAAUUAAGUUGGUCCCA